rnacentral:tRNA from 1 species
GGGCCGGUAGUUCAGUCUGGUAUGAACGCCGCAUUCGCAAUGCGGAAGCCGGGGGUUCAAAUCCCCCCCGGUCCACCA